CCCAGAUCUACACUGACUGUGACUCCAGACAGUCCUGUGUUCACUGGAGAGACAGUCACUCUGAAGUGUGUAAUAAACUCUGAUCACAGUGACUGGAGAAAUGAGUGGUAUAAAGGUACAAACAACAGUGCAAUGUUGCAGACGUCUGAGCGUUACACUGUAAACGGAGACACUCUCACUAUCAGAGGAGUAAUUACAGCUGAUCAGGAUCAGUACACGUGUAGAGGACAGAGAGAUGGAAGAUCAGUCUCAUCACAGGAGAGUAACCGAAUACAUCUGUCUGUUAAUGCAGCUUCAUCUUCUCUUCUGGUCACUGGUGUGGUUGUGGGAUUGAGUGUUUGCUUGUUGUUCUUCAUCUCACUGCUGCUGCUGUGGAGAUACAAGAAGAACAAAGAUCAGCAGCGUAACAUUAACCAGACAUCAGUCCCAAAUCAAUCUGCAGAAUCUCAACAACAAAAAUCUCCUCUACAGUCUGAUUCUGAUCACAUUUAUGACGACGUGACUGAAGUGAAUAAGAGACACAAAGGUUGAGUUUUAAACCAUCUUAACACAUACCAUUCAAAAUCAGCAAAUAUCAUUCA
rnacentral:lncRNA from 1 species